GUGCGUAAUGAGUAGCACAUAGAUUGAAAUUCGAACAAUACAGAAAAGAUUUAUGGGGCCUCUGCACAAAAAUGGCAUGUAAAUUCUUAACAUAUUGUAUUUUUUC
rnacentral:snRNA from 1 species